UUUGCAAACAGAGCCAAGAGAGAGAAACUACUUUCUUCCUUUUUUUUCUCUUUCUUCAACCUUCUGGAGGAAGGGAAGAGAGAUAUGCCGGAAUAACUUUGAAACCCAGAAAAUCUUUUCUGUGAACCAUCUAUCAAUCCAGAUUCAUAGAAAAGGUUUUCUGGGUCAUUAUCAAAUCGAAGCAGUUAAGGUUUUUAGCCUGAAUCCUAAGAGGUCCAGCACAACUUUAAUGACUUCAACGAGGAUGAUAAAGUAGGGGUUGAGAGAAUUAUGCGAAUUGUUCCAAAGGAACAAACUUUUGGAAAUGAAUGAUUGUUCACAAGUCAGCUGAGAUUAUUCUUCAAAUGUUGAUGAAUGUAAGGGAAAAGUUAUGCAGGUUUCUCACGAAUGUAUCGGAUUGCAAAUAUGCUGGAAAAUGGUCAAUGGAAAAUGAAUUGAUGAAACCAGAGACAACUUCUUAUCCUCACAUCCCUCUGAAGACAGAUUCUGAAAUAACUUGAAACCCAAAUAACCUUGUUUGUGAAUUUGUGAAUCGUAGAUCAUCAAUGAAUCCAGAUUCACAGAGAAGGUUUUUGGGUGAUCAUUAGAUCAAGCUUGUGCACAGGAUACCCCAAUGUUUGAUUUGUUAUUCUCAUUGAUGAGUCCAGAUUCUAGACUCAAGUUUUGUUAUUCUUGAGUACUUGGUGUAUUUUUUCGUUAUCAACUUAUUAUUUCUUAUGAUAUGCUUAUUCUUGCAUUAAUAGAGAGCUCAUCUUUCUUAUUUUAAGGGGUCAGUCUCGCCUUUGGGGAUGAUGGCUUCCUCUGGCAAGCCAUGAAGAAAGAGUAAAAGAGAUUGAAAGCAAUUGUUUGUUGGAUAAAUAACUGUUCGAUAAAGUGUGAUAGACUGAUAGUAUAUCUCACAGCCAAAUAGAGAGAGGUUGAACAACUUUCGUUUUAAAUGUCCCGAAGACACAAACAGUUCUUAGCAUAUCAAGAUUGAAUAGAUCAUAUCAACGUCGAUGAAAGUAAUCAAGGAAGUUGGGGAGGAAGUUCUUAUGCAAGCUUAUUUUUCCUUGGUUUAGAUGAAGUUUGUUCCAUCUUUCUUGGAGGGUCCCACAAGGAGAACCGCUCAUCAUAUGCUCCAGAAAAUGGCGUUCAAUGUGAUGGAGCUUAUAGAAUAAAGAAAUGUUGGCGAAAAUAGGGAUUCAGCUGUGGUGGUUUCUUGUCUUCUAACUUUACACUCCAGGCACAUGUCUUUACUUCCCUGCCAGUCUGGAAUGAUCUAAUGAGAAAGUGUCAUUUACAGGGCCAUAAAGUCUGCAGUAAUAACUUAAUGCUCUGCAUCGUCCACUGUAGUGAUGAGCAUGGGGACAGCCCGAGACCUCUGCCAGCUGGAGUUUAGCGUGCCAACUGAUGGUACAGAUAGAAAGGACAGUUCAUCUUGGGAUUAUGACGUGAGUUUCAGAGUUGUUUUCCAGUUAUUCUUUACCGAGUUUUUUUUGUCGUUUUUAGUCUUGGUAUCCCUUCGGAUAUUGCUAUUUUCCUUUCAGCUUUAUUAUCUAAGAGCAAGACUAAUCAAAAGUCAACAACUUAACUAAGAUCAGCAGUUGGAUCUCCCCUCUCCUCAAAGUUAGACCCUUGGAUGACAGGAAUUUUCCACAAAAGAUUCCUGUCAUAGACAAAAUUUCCAUGUGGCUUUUCUUGGUUACUUGAUGAAAAUGCCCCCCGAUCUUCUUUCCCAAAACACAGCUUUUUCUUUUUCUCUUCAGUUCCAUCACCACCCAUGGUUACCAUCACCACCAGCAAUACCAUCAGCCUCACCACUAUCAUCAUCUCCAGCAACACCGCCAUUAUCAUCUAAACCAGCAACAACGCUAAAUUAUGCAGACAUGGUUACUUCAUCUUGCUCUCAGGAAAUCCUUUCAUCGCAAUUUCUCAAGCUGUGCAUGAAAGGAAUCGCCUCAAUUUCAUGUUUGCUAAAUCUAUGCAGACAUGGUUACUUCCCCUUGAUCUUUCUAUUAUCAUAAGAAAUUUACUUCAGAGAAUUGAAUCGAGACCAAACUCAAAUCGGUUCUCCAAAGUUACUCAAAAUCAAAUCAGGGUCCAAUUACUCAAUUCAACCUAUGUUCAACAAAGUUUACUACCUUGAUUCAUUUUGGCUGAUGAAGGUAUCCAAAUGAAGAAGCUGAUGAAGUACCCAUAAUAUUUGUUGCGAGUAAACCUCACAUUUCAAAGGGAUAAAUCAACCUCGGAAAAGCUAUGGGUAGAGGUGGUUGAACUAUCGACAACCAAAUAUUAAAACAUGGGAGUAUUAGAACCUGAAGAAGUGGGUAGUAACAAGUGAUUUUAGUAACAGCCCAUCAAUAUUGAGUUGGAGCUGGUUGCAAUGACUCAAGAAUUGAAUUGCUCCUUACUCAGAUAAGGACGUAACUGAACUUCUUGCGUCUGGAAGGAAAAUGUUUACCUCAGUGCCCUUGGGAAGUAGUGCUCCAAUGGCUGUUUCUGCAUCUGGUGGUGGUGGCAGAGCAGAAGAAGGAAGAGAAGGUCGAUAAGAAACAAGAAUCUGAUGACGCAACGAAGAAGAAAGUUGCUUGAAAAAACCUUCACCUCUUAGGGAAAAACCCAUGCGGACACAAAAUCCCUUGGAUGCCGAAGAUAUCUCUAAGAUGCUGAAGAUUUUAAGAGAGAAAGGAAACCAUGGAAAAAGGCAUAGAAUAAGUCCCUUACAGACCAGUAUUGAAAGGUUGAUCUCUCUCUCUCUCUCUCUCUCUCUCUCUCUCUCUCUCUCUUAUUUUAGGGGUCAAUCUCGACUUCGGGGAUGAAUAAAUAGGGCACAAAUGGCAUCUCUUGUCAAAUAAAGAGGAUGAAGAGGUUGAUCAACAACUCCCAUUUAAAUUGUCUCUUUGGAAAUUAUUUCACAGUUCUCUCAGCAAAUCAAGAUUGUUCAAAUUGUUUUCUCGAUGUGGAUGAAGGUAUAUCAGUAAAUUCACACAUGAUAGAAUUCAUCCAGAUCAACAGAGGCUAAUAAAGAGCUUGAAGCUCAUGCCGAUGACGACAUUCAGAAAAUCUACUCCUAUGGCCUCAUGGUGGUAUACAGAUCUUUGUUAAUAACCUGCCUGGACAAGGAAUUCCCUCCUCAGAGGGUUUAUUUUUGCUGGAAAACAACUCGAAGAUGGUUGUAAUCCUGCAGACCACAACAUCUAGAAGGAAACAACCCUUCCUUCACCUUGUUCUUCUUCUGUGGCUGUAUGCUGAUUUUUGACAAGGCCCGUACUGGGAAAACAAUUAUCGUUGAAACCGAGAAUUCAGACACUAUUGAUCCUGUGAAGACAAUGAAGGAAUUCCCCCUGGCCAGAAGGAAUGAUUUUUCAGUUUAUGUUGCGUCUCAGGGAACUUGGCUAAGACUAAUAAGAGAGACAGACUAUUGCACUCGAUGUGGAAAGUUUUGACAAAUUGUUAAGCUGAGAUUUCAGGACACAAUGGAGGUAUUUCUCCAGACCAGCAGGGAAAGCAAUUGGAAGAUGGAAGAACCUUAGCUGAUAUCAUUUUUCGGAAAUAGUUCAUGGUUUAUUUUCAUAUGGCAGAUGGGCAAAAAAUGGAGAAGUAAUAAUAUUGGGUUUCUUACCAUUUACGCCAUGCCUAAUUGCCCAUCAUUUCCUGAAUUCUUGCCCUAACAUUUGUCAAUUUGUCAAUUAGGGUUAUGUGAUAGAAUACAAAUUAGUACUCCCUCUGUUUCACAAAGACAGUCCGCUUUGACUUUCUCAAAAUAUUAAGAAGACCAUACUAUUUUACU